UCAAACCCAACUCAGAGUGAUGAAGAAGAUGAAGAAGAUGAAGAAUGUGAAGCAGAAGGGAGAAUAAAAUUGAAAAGUCUAGCUGACAUCUAUGAAAGGUGCAGUUUUGCCUCAAAAGAACCUUCCUCUGUUGAGGAAGCACUUCAGCAGCAAGAGUGGAGACUUGCUAUAGAAGAGGAAAUCAGGAUGAUUGACAAAAAU
rnacentral:lncRNA from 1 species